CAGUAGCCACGGUAAUACAGAGGGUGCGAGCGUUAAUCGGAUUUACUGGGCGUAAAGCGUGCGUAGGCGGCUUUUUAAGUCGGAUGUGAAAUCCCUGAGCUUAACUUAGGAAUUGCAUUCGAUACUGGGAAGCUAGAGUAUGGGAGAGGAUGGUAGAAUUCCAGGUGUAGCGGUGAAAUGCGUAGAGAUCUGGAGGAAUACCGAUGGCGAAGGCAGCCAUCUGGCCUAAUACUGACGCUGAGGUACAAAAGCAUGGGGAGCAAACAGGAUUAGAUACCCCUGUAGUCCCUGUCUCUUAUAC
rnacentral:rRNA from 1 species